rnacentral:rRNA from 1 species
GGCGCUGCUUACCAUGCAAGUCGAACGUGAAAGCACUUCGGUGUGAGUAGAGUGGCGGACGGGUGAGUACCGUGUGGGAAUCUGCCCAGUAGUGGGGGACAACUACCGGAAACGGUAGCUAAUACCGCAUACGCCCUAUGGGGGAAAGGCUUCGGCCGCUAUUGGAUGAGCCCGCGUCAGAUUAGCUAGUUGGUAGGGUAAAGGCCUACCAAGGCAACGAUCUGUAGCUGGUCUGAGAGGACGAACAGCCACACUGGGACUGAGACACGGCCCAGACUCCUACGGGAGGCAGCAGUGGGGAAUAUUGGACAAUGGGCGAAAGCCUGAUCCAGCAAUGCCGCGUGUGUGAAGAAGGCCUGCGGGUUGUAAAGCACUUUCAGUUGGGAAGAUGAUGACGUUACCAACAGAAGAAGCACCGGCUAAAUCCGUGCCAGCAGCCGCGGUAAUACGGAUGGUGCGAGCGUUAAUCGGAAUUACUGGGCGUAAAGCGCGCGUAGGCGGCUAAGUCAGUCAGAAGUGAAAGCCCCGGGCUCAACCUGGGAAUUGCUUUUGAUACUGCUUGGCUAGAGUUUGGUAGAGGAUAGUGGAAUUCCAGGUGUAGCGGUGAAAUGCGUAGAUAUCUGGAGGAACAUCAGUGGCGAAGGCGACUGUCUGGACCAAAACUGACGCUGAGGUGCGAAAGCGUGGGUAGCAAACAGGAUUAGAUACCCUGGUAGUCCACGCCGUAAACGAUGUCAACUAGCCGUCGGGUCUAUUU